AAUAAUAAAAUUUUAUUGCAGCAAAAGACACAUCACCAUGAAUCCCCUCGAAGACUCCUCCUUGCUUUUAUGGGAUGUAUGUGAUGGCGGACUUACCCGAUCAUUCUUGCCGCUUUCUCAAUCAAGUCUGGAAGACACGGGACGGACACUCUUGUGUGAGAGGAACUUGAUGGUACCAACUUGCUUCCCACUGUGUCGAAGCCCUCAACGCGGCCAUUAAAAUGCAUCUCUUCUACCUGGAUCGAAUUCUAUCCAUGAGAAUGCACGCAGGCCCAGAACAGAAGCAGGCUGGAGACCUGGGGGCAAAUGGAAG
rnacentral:lncRNA from 1 species